rnacentral:rRNA from 1 species
AGACCGUUCUCUUCAGAGGCCGGUCAUUGGAAUGGGUACAAUUUAAACCCUUUAACGAGUAUCUAUGAGAGGGCAAGUCUGGUGCCAGCAGCCGCGGUAAUUCCAGCUCUCAAAAUGCAUGGAAUCAUUGCUGCGGUUAAAAAGCUCGUAGUUGGAUCUGUGCUGGCGGGUCGGUCCACCUUCGGGUGCGCACUGAUUUCGCCGGCUUUCCUGCUGUAUUUGGCCCUGUGCCUUUCAACGGGUGCAGUGUCCAGUGCAGCAAGUUUUACCUUGAACAAAUCAGAGUGCUUCAAACAGGCGUUUCGCUUGAAUGUUCGUGCAUGGAAUAAUAGAAGAGGAUUUCGGUACUAUUUUAUUGGUUUUAUAGACUGAGAUAAUGGUUAACAGAGACUAACGGGGGCAUUAGUAUUGCUACGUGAGAGGUGAAAUUCUUGGACCGUAGCAAGACUGACUACAGCGAAAGCAUUUGCCAAGAAAGUCUUCAUUAAUCAAGAACGAAAGUCAGAGGUUCGAAGGCGAUCAGAUACCGCCCUAGUUCUGACCGUAAACGAUGCCAACUAGUGAUCCGCCGGUGGAACAUUCGCCCUGGUGGGGAACUUCCCGGAAACGAAAGUCUUCCGGUUCCGGGGGAAGUAUGGUUGCAAAGCUGAAACUUAAAGGAAUUGACGGAAGGGCACCACCAGGAGUGGAGCCUGCGGCUUAAUUUGACCCAACACGGGAAAACUCACCCGGCCCGGACACCGUAAGGAUUGACAGAUUGAUAGCUCUUUCAUGAUUCGGUGGAUGGUGGUGCAUGGCCGUUCUUAGUUCGUGGAGCGAUUUGUCUGGUUUAUUCCGAUAACGAGCGAGACUCUGCCUACUAAAUAGUUUACACAUUGCUUCUGUGUGCAUAACUUCUUAGAGGGAUUUUCGGUGUUCAGCCGCAAGAAAUUGAGCAAUAACAGGUCUGUGAUGCCCUUAGAUGUCCGGGGCUGCACGCGCGCUACACUGGCAAAAUCAGCGUGCUUGUCCUUCCCCGAAAGGGGUUGGUAAACUCGUGAAAAUUUGCCGUGAUUGGGAUCGGAAAUUGCAAUUAUUUUCCGUGAACGAGGAAUUCCAAGUAAGUGCGAGUCAUCAACUCGCGUUGAUUACGUCCCUGCCCUUUGUACACACCGCCCGUCGCUGCCCGGGACUGAGCCGUUUCGAGAAACUUGGAGACCGCUGAUCUGGUAACUUCGAUUGCCAUUUUGGUGGGAACCAAUUUAA